rnacentral:rRNA from 1 species
AUUGAACGCUGGCGGCAUGCCUUACACAUGCAAGUCGAACGGUAACAGGUCUUCGGAUGCUGACGAGUGGCGAACGGGUGAGUAAUACAUCGGAACGUGCCUAGUAGUGGGGGAUAACUACUCGAAAGAGUGGCUAAUACCGCAUGAGAUCUACGGAUGAAAGCAGGGGAUCGCAAGACCUUGUGCUACUAGAGCGGCCGAUGGCAGAUUAGGUAGUUGGUGGGGUAAAAGCUUACCAAGCCGACGAUCUGUAGCUGGUCUGAGAGGACGAUCAGCCACACUGGGACUGAGACACGGCCCAGACUCCUACGGGAGGCAGCAGUGGGGAAUUUUGGACAAUGGGCGCAAGCCUGAUCCAGCAAUGCCGCGUGCAGGAUGAAGGCCUUCGGGUUGUAAACUGCUUUUGUACGGAACGAAAAGCCCUGGGUUAAUACCUUGGGGUCAUGACGGUACCGUAAGAAUAAGCACCGGCUAACUACGUGCCAGCCGCCGCCGUAAGAC